AAUGAACGUUGGCGGCGUGGAUUAGGCAUGCAAGUCGCGCGACAAGCUCCCUUCGGGGAGUGGAGGAGCGGCAAACGGGGUAGUAAGGCGUCGGAACAUACCCUCCAGUCUGGAAUAGCCGCGGGAAACUGCGGGUAAUGCCGGAUAAUCUCUAGCGAGCAAAGGUCCGCCGCUGGAGGAGUGGCCGACGUGGUACCAGGUAGUUGGUGAGGUAAUGGCUCACCAAGCCGAAACGACCCAGGGGUGGUGAGAGCACGACCCCCACUCACUGGGACUGAGACACUGCCCAGACACCUACGGGUGGCUGCAGUCGAGAAUCUUCGGCAAUGGGCGCAAGCCUGACCGAGCGACGCCGCGUGCGGGAUGAAGGCCCUUGGGUUGUAAACCGCUGUCAGAGGGGAGGAAGGCGAAAGCUUGACCGAGCCUCAGAGGAAGCACGGGCUAAGUUCGUGCCAGCAGCCGCGGUAAUACGAACUGUGCGAACGUUAUUCGGAAUCACUGGGCUUACG
rnacentral:rRNA from 1 species